AAUGAACGUUGGCGGCGUGGAUUAGGCAUGCAAGUCGUACGAGAAUCGUAGCAAUACGAGGAAAGUGGCGAAAGGGAGAGGAGUACGUGGGAAUCUACCCUCAGACCUGGGAUAGCGGCGGGAAACUGCCGGUAAUACCAGAUAAUGGCUGCGGGCCAAAGGGGUGAAUACGUCUGGGGAGGAGCCCACGUCCUAUUAGCUAGUUGGCAGGGUAAUGGCCUACCAAGGCAAUGAUGGGUAGCGGGUGUGAGAGCAUGACCCGCCUCACUGGGACUGAGAACUGCCCAGACACCUACGGGUGGCUGCAGUCGAGAAUCUUCGGCAAUGGGCGCAAGCUUGACCGAGCGACGCCGCGUGCGGGAUGAAGGCCUUCGGGUUGUAAACUGCUGUCGUAGGGGAGCAAGAAAUGAGGGUUCUCCCUCAAAUUUGAGCGAUCCUAGGAGGAAGGACGGGCUAAGUUCGUGCCAGCCGCCGCCGUAA
rnacentral:rRNA from 1 species